rnacentral:rRNA from 1 species
UACGUAGGGAGCGAGCGUUGUCCGGAUUUAUUGGGCGUAAAGAGCUCGUAGGCGGUUUGUCGCGUCUGCCGUGAAAGUCCGGGGCUCAACUCCGGAUCUGCGGUGGGUACGGGCAGACUAGAGUGAUGUAGGGGAGACUGGAAUUCCUGGUGUAGCGGUGAAAUGCGCAGAUAUCAGGAGGAACACCGAUGGCGAAGGCAGGUCUCUGGGCAUUAACUGACGCUGAGGAGCGAAAGCAUGGGGAGCGAACAGG